rnacentral:pre_miRNA from 1 species
AUAUAAAUCACCAGGGGUUCUUGUUAGAAUUCAGAUUCUGAUUCUGUAGGUCUGGCUGAGGCCUGAGAUUCUGCAAUUCUGACAAGCUUCCAGGUGAUGCCAGG